GUGCCAGUAGCCGCGGUAAUGCGUAGGGGGCCAGCGUUGUUCGGAAUUACUGGGUGUAAAGGGUUCGUAGGCGGUGCGGCAAGUUGGGAGUGAAAUCUCUGGGCUCAACCCAGAGCCGGCUUCCAAAACUGCUGUGCUUGAGUGUGAGAGAGGCUCGCGGAAUUGCAGGUGUAGCGGUGAAAUGCGUAGAUAUCUGCAGGAACACCCGUGGCGAAAGCGGCGAGCUGGAUCACUACUGACGCUGAGGAACGAAAGCUAGGGGAGCAAACAGGAUUAGAUACCCCGGUAGUCC
rnacentral:rRNA from 1 species